GACGAACGCUGGCGGCGUGCUGAACACAUGCAAGUCGAGCGGAGCGGCGAACGGGUGAGUAACGCGUGAGUACCUGCCCCCCUCUCUGGGAUAACAGUUGGAAAGGACUGCUAAGACCAGAUAGUGGGGGAUGACUCGCGUACUAUCCGCUUGUGGGGGGGGUAGUGGCCUACCAAGGCGACGACGGGUAGCCGGCCUGGGAGUGCGACCGGCCACAUUGGGCUGAGAUACGGUCCAAACUCCUACGGGGGGCAGCAGUCGGAAAUAUUGCACAAUGGGGGAAACGCUGAUGCACGGCCCCGCGUGAGGGAAGACGGCCUGCGGGUUGUAAACAGCUUUCAGCCAUGACGCGGUAGUGGCAGAAGAAGCACCGGCUAACUACGUGCCAGCAGUCGCGGUAAUAC
rnacentral:rRNA from 1 species